AUAGCUUUACAUAAUGUUUCUCUUUUUAUUGUAUUCUGUAAGUGCAUCCUGUGAUUUAAUAUAGUUACAGCGUCAGGUUUAUUUAUUUAGAGUAAAUGUGUAUGACACAUAAAACAUUUAUUACAAACACAGUCUAAUUGCAGAUUUACAUCACAUUCACAUUCAUAAAAAUUUUAUCUGAAAAUUAGAUUUAUUUAUUUUUUAUUGAAAGAAACCGUAUUUCGUCCAUGUGGUGUUUCAUUUCGGAAAUAAU